GAUGAACGCUGGCGGCAUGCCUAAGACAUGCAAGUCGAACGAGAGGGCCCAAGGAGAGAGAAAGAAAUGGAAAGUGCUUGCACUGGAAAUGGAAAGCUUUCGAAUUGGAAUUUCCCUCGAGUGGCAAACGGGUGAGUAACACGUGGGUUACCUACCUCUAUGAUGGGGAUAGCAGUUGGAAACGAUUGCUAAUACCGAAUGUGCUCUACGGAGUAAAGAAGCCCUUAAAGCUUCGCAUAGAGAUGGGCCUGCGGUGCAUUAGCUAGUUGGUGGGGUAAUGGCCUACCAAGGCAGCGAUGCAUAGCCGAGCUGAGAGGUUGAUCGGGCCACACUGGGGACUGAGACACGGGCCCAGACUCCUACGGGAGACAGCAGUGGGGAAUAUUGCACAAUGGGGGAAACCCUGAUGCAGCGACGCCGCGUGAGUGAUGAAGUAUUUCGGGGUUGUAAAACUU
rnacentral:rRNA from 1 species